UGACAUGGUUAUUCAACUAACAAACGUUCUGUAUUUCCUAUUUCUUAACGCACUCUUUUCUAAAUAGAUUUUUUAAUGAUAUGUGAAAUUCGUAAUAGGUUACCGCUUGUAGGUGCGCAUCAGUGUCCAUAAAUACGCAUUGCAAUCGCCAUGACCUAAUUCAAAAGUAAUAGCAUGGAAAACGAAGCAAAGAGAAAAGUAAAGCAAAUGCAAAUCUACCUUUUACAUAUGUAUCAAUGUUAAAAAAGAAUACGCACGCUGGAACCAACAGCGUCGAGCAUUGAGAAUGGCAGAGCAGGUCGUCUCAUUAUGCACAGGCGAUUUCCCAGGCAGAACCCUUGGUUUCUUCACUUCAUGUUUCCGAUCCGCACUGCUCACACACGCUCGGAGCUUCGUCAAAAACAAACAAGGCAAUGUUCGCUUUCAAAACGGCAAUCAAAUACCCAAGAACCGGUGGGGGGAAUUACUCCCGCAGCGGCUAGAUGGUGAGAGAGGAGUCAUCAGGAGCCAGACAGAGAGAACCAGGAUAACGGCUGACGUGGCCAUGUGUUAAGGAUGGCCCACAGAUCGCAGAGAUGGAGCAUCUAUCUGUGUGACCCUUUACUGUUGUCUCUAGUGGAGCUCGAGACAUGGACUUCCAUCACCACCUGAACAUCAACAUGCACAACCGUCAAGAUACAGUAUGCUGAGAAGACAGAUACAGAACUCUGCUAUUUAUCAUCAGCAUGCAUACAUCUGUUCUAGAUACACAGAAACCACCAAAUAUACACUAACAUCCUUUGAAUCAAGUCAGUGUUUUGUAUCAUUGUGAUUUAAAUCUUGUUUGUUGUAAAACUGUUUACCAUAUGUCUACUCACUGGGAUGUAAAAGUACAACAUUAUUUAUUCUGAAUUGUAAAAGUCUGUAUUGGACCUGGCAUAUUGGUAUAUUGGAUUUUGAAUGAACCUGCCCUUAGAAUACAGCAUGACAUCAGAAGGGAACCCGCAGAGCACAUUGUCUUUAUCUGACAUUGACUGAAUUUAUAGAAAAAGUAAACCUCAAUGGGAAUAUUUUUCUACUUUCUCAAAUCACUGAAUUUCCUCAAUGAACGGAAUAAAGUAUAUUCAAGAAUAUCUUGUUUCUGACUUUUUUACAGUAUGUCUACAGUAGACCUACUGUAUAUACCUUUGACAUGAUUAGAUCCUCUGUGGGAUCAAUGUGGAAUGGGUGCUGAUUAAAAUAAAACAACAUGGCUGACAUGGCUGUAGCAGUUCCUGAUUGACCCUGAUAUUUCUCAGAAUGAAACAUACAGUUUGCAUACAGUACAAAUAAACGACAUACAUGUUACAUUUACCUUGUCAAUGUGUUACCAUAUUAUGUCAAAUUAGAUACAACUGUAAAAUCUAAAAUGGAAAAGAUACUAGCUAUGGUCACUACCUGAAGCACCUUGACAACCAGGGCAAGCUUUGUAGCCUUCUACACAUUUUGUGUUUGUGUUUGCUAGCAGAAUGCAUCUUCUACUUUUUUCCUUCUCUGUCACAAUGUUUGCCUUAAUUUUGUUGUUUUGUUCUACAUGAAGAAGGUUCAAAGUUUUCAUUCCCACUUCCUCUGUUACCUGCCUGUCACUUUCCUUCUCCUGACAAACAAUAUCUCUCCUCACCUGUCUCCCAACCCCCACUUCCUCUGUUUCCGGCCUGUCUCACUUCUUCUCCUGACAAAAUGUUUCUCUCCUCACUUUUCUCCCUUCCCUCUGUCUCACUCAUCAUAUAUCCUUCUCCUCCACUCUCUCUACUUUUUCUCUCUCCUUCUCAAUCCCAUUAAACCUUUCCCUCCCUCCCUCCCUCCCUCCC
rnacentral:lncRNA from 1 species